AUUGAACGCUGGCGGCAGGCCUAACACAUGCAAGUCGAACGAGUGGCGGACGGGUGAGUAAUGUCUGGGAAACUGCCUGAUGGAGGGGGAUAACUACUGGAAACGGUAGCUAAUACCGCAUACCAUCAGAUGUGCCCAGAUGGGAUUAGCUAGUUGGUGGGGUAACGGCUCACCAAGGCGACGAUCCCUAGCUGGUCUGAGAGGAUGACCAGCCAAACCGGAACCGGGACACGGUCCAGACUCCUACGGGAGGCAGCAGGGGGGAAUAUUGCACAAUGGGGGGAAGCCGUAUGGAGCCAUGCCGCGUGGAUGAAGAAGGCCUUCGGGUUGUAAAGGACUUUAAGCGGGGAGGCGUUACCCGCAGAAGAAGCACCGGCCAACUCCGUGCCAGCCGCCGCGGUAAUAC
rnacentral:rRNA from 1 species